rnacentral:tRNA from 1 species
CAGGAUAUAAUUUAAGUAGAAUGCUGGUUUUGGAGGCCGGUAGUAGAGGUUAGAGUCCUCUUGUCCUGA